rnacentral:rRNA from 1 species
UACGAAGGGUGCAAGCGUUAAUCGGAAUUACUGGGCGUAAAGGGUGCGUAGGCGGUUGUUUAAGUCUGUCGUGAAAUCCCCGAGCUCAACCUGGGAAUGGCGAUGGAUACUGGGCAGCUAGAGUGUGUCAGAGGAUGGUGGAAUUCCCGGUGUAGCGGUGAAAUGCGUAGAGAUCGGAAGGAACGUCGAUGGCGAAGGCAGUCACCUGGCAUCAUACUGACGCUGAGGCGCGAAAGCGUGGGGAGCAAACAGG